rnacentral:rRNA from 1 species
CAGCAGCCGCGGUAAUACGUAGGGUGCAAGCGUUAAUCGGAAUUACUGGGCGUAAAGCGUGCGCAGGCGGUCCGCUAAGACAGAUGUGAAAUCCCCGGGCUUAACCUGGGAACUGCAUUUGUGACUGGCGGGCUAGAGUAUGGCAGAGGGGGGUAGAAUUCCACGUGUAGCAGUGAAGUGCGUAGAGAUGUGGAGGAAUACCGAUGGCGAAGGCAGCCCCCUGGGCCAAUACUGACGCUCAUGCACGAAAGCGUGGGGAGCAAACAGGAUUAGAUACCCGCGUAGUCCCUGUCUCUUAUAC